rnacentral:rRNA from 1 species
AACGAACGCUGGCGGCAGGCUUAACACAUGCAAGUCGAGCGCCCCGCAAGGGGAGCGGCAGACGGGUGAGUAACGCGUGGGAAUCUACCCAUCUCUACGGAAUAACGCAUGGAAACGUGUGCUAAUACCGUAUAAGUCCUUCGGGAGAAAGAUUUAUCGGAGAUGGAUGAGCCCGCGUUGGAUUAGCUAGUUGGUGGGGUAAAGGCAUACCAGGGCGACGAUCCAUAGCUGGUCUGAGAGGAUGAUCAGCCACACUGGGACUGAGACACGGCCCAGACUCCUACGGGAGGCAGCAGUGGGGAAUAUUGGACAAUGGGCGCAAGCCUGAUCCAGCCAUGCCGCGUGAGUGAUGAAGGCCCUAGGGUUGUAAAGCUCUUUCACCGGUGAAGAUAAUGACGGUAACCGGAGAAGAAGCCCCGGCUAACUUCGUGCCAGCCGCCGCAGUAAGAC